rnacentral:rRNA from 1 species
CGCGUAGGCGGCUUAGUUAGUCAGGCGUGAAAGCCCUGGGCUCAACCUGGGGACUGCGCUUGAUACGGCUAGGCUAGAGGAUGGAAGAGGGUCGCGGAAUUCCCAGUGUAGAGGUGAAAUUCGUAGAUAUUGGGAAGAACACCGGUGGCGAAGGCGGCGACCUGGUCCAUUACUGACGCUGAGGCGCGACAGCGUGGGGAGCAAACA